rnacentral:lncRNA from 1 species
AUUACUUUGACUUUGGGUAAAAAAAAUAAAAAUUGAAUCUUAUGAUUUUAAAAUAUGACUUUUCAGCCAGGUGUGGUGGUGGUUUCCUGUAACCCCAGCACUUGGAAGGCUGAGAAAUCCUCACCUAACUGCAGCCAUUUUAUUCAAUAAAGCUGCAGCCAUUUUGUUCUCUGCCACUGAACUCAGGUAAAUCACUUCAUUUGUUAUCAAACUGAAAUGUGUGUGAAUGUACUAAAAA